UACGUAGGGGGCAAGCGUUGCCCGGAAUCAUUGGGCGUAAAGCGCGUGUAGGCGGCUCGAUAAGUCUGCUGUGAAAGUCCAAGGCUCAACCUUGGGAUGCCGGUGGAUACUGUCGAGCUCGAGUCCGGAAGAGGAGUGUGGAAUUCCUGGUGUAGCGGUGAAAUGCGCAGAUAUCAGGAGGAACACCAAUGGCGAAGGCAGCACUCUGGGACGUGACUGACGCUGAGACGCGAAAGCGUGGGGAGCAAACAGG
rnacentral:rRNA from 1 species